UAUUUGCAUCGAAGAAGAGAGAACCAACGACUUAUUUGCGAUGGAGAGAAAGAGCCAAUGAUGUAUUCACAUUGAAGAGAGAUCACCGGCGAUGUUUUUACAAUGGAGAGAACUGACGAUGUUGUUGCAUCAGAGAGAGUCGGCCACGUAUUUGCGAUGGAAAGAGAGAUAGACUGGACUGUUUACAUCAGAGAGAGGCAGAGAAGAAGUUUCUUCCAAGGAGAAAUAGAGGGAAACAGAGGGAGAGAGGGAGAAAGAAUGAGAUUUUACCAGCAAG
rnacentral:lncRNA from 1 species